rnacentral:tmRNA from 1 species
CUAUGUAGGUUUGGUCGCCUACAUAGUCACAAUUGACUGUUAGGUCUAUGGAUCAGUUGUAAGACGAGGGUUCGACUCCCUCAUACUCCACGCUCACCUAGAGCUUCAAAGCAAUAUACUAAGGAAAAGAACUAGGGUUUUUGAUCGUGUUCUACCGUGCGCCAAGUUCUUAAAUCUUAGAACGGUAGAUUUGGGGUAUUGUGGUUUUGAUUGCAACAAUGUGAAGUAGAAUAGGUCAAUAAGCAGAUAACUGGCAAUACAAGUUAUGUAAUGGAUUAUACACGCUUAGUAGCGUGAGAUAUCCCCAGGGGAGCAUACAGUAUCCUGGUUAACAACUCUUUAUUUAAAGAGAAACUGUUACUAAUGAUGGGGUUGUGAAAUAGAUUUU